rnacentral:piRNA from 1 species
UUCUUCUAUCUUAUAAGUCUGGUGCUCCUU